GAUGAAGAACGUAGUGAAAUGCGAUAAGUAAUGUGAAUUGCAGAAUUCAGUGAAUCAUCGAAUCUUUGAACGCACAAUGCGCCCGCCAGUAUUCUGGCGGGCAUGCCUGUCUGAGCGUCAUUUCAACCCUCAUGCCCCUAGGGCGUGGUGUUGGGGAUCGGCCAAAGCCCGCGAGGGACGGCCGGCCCCUAAAUCUAGUGGCGGACCCGUCGUGGCCUCCUCUGCGAAGUAGUGAUAUUCCGCAUCGGAGAGCGACGAGCCCCUGCCGUUAAACCCCCAACUUUCCAAGGUUGACCUCAGAUCAGGUAGGAAUACCCGCUGAACUUAAGCAUAUCAAUAAGCGGAGGA
rnacentral:misc_RNA from 1 species